CUGAGGCUCAGAGAGGCAAAUAGACUGGCCCCAGGUUUCCAGCUGGUACAUGGCAGAGUUGGAUUCGAACCCACCUCCCCAGACCCAUCCAGGAAAUCCUACCCUGCUCGCCCACAGGUGGGGGUUGGGGAGUCUUGUAGGCCCUUGUGGUUCUCAUCUGAACAACAGGCCUUCUCAGGGCUAGCUCAGGGCUAGCUCAGCCAAUCCUAGCUCAGGAUUGGCUCCAAUAAUUUGGAAUCUGUGCCCAAAAAAAUGUGGUACCUUGUUAGGGUGUCCAGAAAACUGCACGGGGAAGGAGCAGAGUGGCAGGCGGUCGGCUCCAGGACUUGUGGCCCUGCGCCUGGACAGGGGAGCCUGGAGGCUAAGGUUACCACGAGGCAAUGUUGUAUUUAUAGUAGGAAGCUGCCUGUCCUGGGAGCUGCCAGCCCCACACCCGGUCCAGGGAAGGGGCUUCCCUCACAGCUGUCUGGAUUCUAGGCCUGGCUCCGCCCCUGAGCGAAGCCCAGCACGGGACGGGCCCCUUUCCCAUGGAGACUCAGUUCCCCCAUCUGUAAAAUGGGGCCCUACCAUGUCCCUUGCUGGGUCUGGAGACAGUGUCUCUAAGGGCUGGUGUGGCCUGGACGGAGGGGCCGGAAGGUGCUGGCUCCAGGCACUCUGGGUCUGUUGAUUGUCCCUUCCUGCCUUUGACUCCUGGCCGGCCCCCUCCCCUCCCGGCAGAACUCUGCAGGAAGAGAGUCCAGCCUCUGCCCUGACAGAACCCACGUGUUUGGGAGGGCUUCCAGCAAAGCCGUUUUACAAUUCCCAGCCCCACAGAAUAGGCCGUUGUUAUUCUCAGCAGAGCAACGAGGGCAAGUCCCUCCGAGCCCGGGGUUCGAAUCUCGACUCUACUGCCCUGUCUCCCGGCUCUGUGGCCUCAGGUCCUGCUCUUGGAAAGGAAAUGUCUUCCCCCAGGAGAGGCAGGCUUGGUCCCAGGGUCUCGUCAUCUCUCAGGGUGUCCCCUCCUGUUGAUGAGGGCUUCCCUCUUUCUAGACAGAUUUGAAUUUGCAUUUAAAAGCACAGACAUAAGCGGCUGAGCGAUUGUGUCACCACGCCAGCAAGGAAAAGCAUAACCAAGAGAAACGUGAGCCGUUAACUGCCGCGAAGCUCCAUUGAUUCCUUAUUUGCUCGCGCACCGGAGCGGGUGCUGGCCGGACAGCUCCCGCUCGGCCACCGCGGUCCCCGGAUGAAGAGCCGGGGUCUGAGCUCAGGGCAAAUGACGGUGGGAAUAGAUGGGGAGGUGAAUUAGGGGUCCGUGCGCCAUCUCUCCUUGAUCCCGCGCCACCGCACCACGCAGAGGCUCGCUGUCCGUUUGACGAGUGGCCGCACGAACGAAACCAGCGUAACCGGAGCGGGGUGGCCGUGAACGCCGCGUGUCGUUUCGUAUGAGAUGAGACCUGGCUUCAAAACGUUUGCAAACACUAGAGGUUGUCUCUAAGGGUCGAUGACGUCAACCGAAUAGCGAGAAAUAAAGCUGGAAUUUAAAACAUUAAUAUUAGUAAUUAAAUAUAAUUUUUAUUCA